CGGCCUGCCCAUCACCAAGGCCACACGGCCAAAACCAAAUGAUCGAUCAACAAUGCAAUGACAACAACCCACAACAACGACCCACCCCACCAGUAAAUUUCCAGCGAACGACAAAAACAAGCACCAGACUGGAAAAGGGCACUCCACAACCACCCCGAAUGCACCACGAAGCCGGUGAGGCGAACCCAAAGCAACGAACCGCCAGUGCCCCCCAGACCCCCGCCCCCAUGUCGGCAGCCACGGAGCGCAGACUGCCACAUCCCGGUGCCGGAAUACCCCACAGGGAAACACCGCCACACUCCACACUGCCCAACGCAAGCCACCAAUACACCAACCACUGCGUCGAAUCCAGCCAACAGCGACGCAGCGCCACCCCGCGCAGCGACGCCCCAGGCACCGAAACGAGGAACCAAAACCCCCGCUCCCACUCGGCCCGAGCCUCACUGUCCAUGCCCCACCGGCACCCAACCCCAUCCCCCACACAGUCCGUAUGUCGGAGCACCCCGGAGCACCCCCGGGCCAUCGCGGCAGGCACCAGCCCCUCCCUCAACGGGGCAGGCCCCCGGGCGACAGGAACCCCGCUCGCUCGCCCCAGGGGGUCACCAGACGCACCCAGCCCCUAGGAACCACCCACCAACCGCAUAAAACCCACAGCAGCGAGGCCGCAAACACCCACCCUGACUAAGUGAUAGAGCUGAUCAAUUUUUUUUUUUGAAGGAGCUUCACCUUGAUAACAGCUUUACUUCUCUGCAGCCUCAUCGUCAUUGUUCUGGCUGUUAAAAUCAGGAAACUUCAGACAGCUGUGAAUGAAGAACUGCAGCCAGAAAGAAACAGGGUGAACCCAGCAUCAAAGGAUCUGGGCUCAGAUGAACUGAACUACACAGCUCUAAAUGUCCAGGCGAAACCCAAAAGAAGCCAAAGGCCUGUAUCAGAGAGAUCUGGAGCCACAUGUUGUGUAUGCUGCCACCAGAUAGACUCAGGAAACAUCUGGAACUGCAGCUCAGAGUGGAACUGAUGCUUCAUUACCUUAAAGCCCAUGUUGCAGGGUUUAUUUUCUAACAAUUUUUUGCAAUUU